rnacentral:rRNA from 1 species
GAUGAACGCUGGCGGCGUGCCUAAUACAUGCAAGUCGAGCGAACGGACGAGAAGCUUGCUUCUCUGAUGUUAGCGGCGGACGGGUGAGUAACACGUGGAUAACCUACCUAUAAGACUGGGAUAACUUCGGGAAACCGGAGCUAAUACCGGAUGAUAUUUUGAACCGCAUGGUUCAAAAGUGAAAGAUGGUCUUGCUGUCACUUAUAGAUGGAUCCGCGCUGCAUUAGCUAGUUGGUAAGGUAACGGCUUACCAAGGCAACGAUGCAUAGCCGACCUGAGAGGGGGAGCGGCCAGACGGGAACUGAGACACGGGCCCGACGCCGAAGGGAGGCAGCGGUAGGGAAUCGUCGGCGUUGGGGGAAUGUCAAACGGAGGAAAGAGGGGUGAGUGAUAGGGGUAUUCGGAUCGGAAAACUCUGUGAUUAGAGAAGAACAUAUCUGUAAGUAACUGUGCACAGGUAGACGGUACCUAAUCAGAAAGCCACCGCUAAUUACGGC